rnacentral:lncRNA from 1 species
UGUCUCAGUGUUUGUUUCCCAGGCAACCUGAUGUAAGAAGUGAUGAAAGUCAAACAAACAACCGUAAAUCUGUACAAUGAAACGUAUGACAGGAAAGCAACAGUGCCACUGAGCGCAGUAAGAGCAUUCAACCCAGACCUGAUGGGUUGUGAAGAUGCAAAGAGAAGGGUCAGGGCAUUACCUCCUCAGUGGGAGAAUGCAAGACCCAGGUGACCCCAGAAGCAGCUGACUUGCUCACAGCCUGGUGACGCCAGUGGUGACAUCCAUGACUGCAACAGCACUUUAAGCAGAGUAGAUACUCACCUAUGGGCCACACCAGGCAACAAUUUAAUCUUCACCCUCAGUCAUUGCUUCUGACUUGUGGAGUGCAAACAUCUAUUUCACACAACUAAAUUAUUAUACGUGACCAUGUGAGUGAGUCCUGACCAGCUACGAAAGGAAGGUAUUAACAUGCACAUCUCCCCAGUCCGGCCCAGGGGGUAUUAAGGAUGGCAACGCUGUUUUUAAGGACACGGAUUACUAACUGCCUUUGAAUAUAGUUCAGAAACUCUGAAGAUUCUGGUCUACUAAGAGAUACUGUUCUCAGACACAAAAACUGGUGCUGUUGUUGCCUAAUGUCCAACCUGGCAGCCACAGAG